AUCAAUAUGGCUGAAUAGGUGUAAGUCUGUAAAACUUGUUAUAAAUUAAAAUUUUGUUGAUA
rnacentral:tRNA from 1 species